rnacentral:rRNA from 1 species
UACGGGGGGGGUAAGCGUUGUUCGGAAUUACUGGGCGUAAAGGGCUCGUAGGCGGCCAACUAAGUCAUACGUGAAAUCCCUCAGCUUAACUGGGGAACUGCGUGUGAUACUGGAUGGCUUGGAUUUGGGAGAGGGAUGCGGAAUUCCAGGUGUAGCGGUGAAAUGCGUAGAUAUCAGGAAGAACACCCGUGGCUAAGGCGGCUCUCUAGUACGGUACUGACGCUGAGACGCGAAAGCGUGGGGAGCGAACAGG